rnacentral:rRNA from 1 species
UGGGGAAUAUUGCACAAUGGAGGGAACUCUGAUGCAGCGACGCCGCGUGAACGAAGAAGGCUUUCGAGUCGUAAAGUUCUUUUAUAGGGGAAGAUAAUGACGGUACCAUAAGAAAAAGCCCCGGCUAGCUACGUGCCAGCAGCCGCGGUAAUACGUAGGGGGCUAGCGUUGUCCGGAAUCACUGGGCGUAAAGGGUUCGCAGGCGGAAAUGCAAGUCAGGUGUAAAAGGCAGUAGCUUAACUACUGUAAGCAUUUGAAACUGCAUAUCUUGAGAAGAGUAGAGGUAAGUGGAAUUUUUAGUGUAGCGGUGAAAUGCGUAGAUAUUAAAAAGAAUACCGGUGGCGAAGGCGGCUUACUGGGCUCAUUCUGACGCUGAGGAACGAAAGCGUGGGUAGCAAACAGG